rnacentral:rRNA from 1 species
UGGGGAAUAUUGGACAAUGGGCGCAAGCCUGAUCCAGCCAUGCCGCGUGUGUGAAGAAGGCCUUUUGGUUGUAAAGCACUUUAAGCGAGGAGGAGGCUACUUGGAUUAAUACUCUAGGAUAGUGGACGUUACUCACAGAAUAAGCACCGGCUAACUCUGUGCCAGCAGCCGCGGUAAUACAGAGGGUGCGAGCGUUAAUCGGAUUUACUGGGCGUAAAGCGUGCGUAGGCGGCUUCUUAAGUCGGAUGUGAAAUCCCUGAGCUUAACUUAGGAAUUGCAUUCGAUACUGGGAAGCUAGAGUAUGGGAGAGGAUGGUAGAAUUCCAGGUGUAGCGGUGAAAUGCGUAGAGAUCUGGAGGAAUACCGAUGGCGAAGGCAGCCAUCUGGCCUAAUACUGACGCUGAGGUACGAAAGCAUGGGGAGCAAACAGG